GCCAUGGAAACCCCGCCUCUCCGAGAGUCGGAUCAGACAGCAGCAUCCUCUAGCCGGUGGCCACCAGAUGAAGGGCACUGCCAAUUUGAGGAAAUUGAACACGUGCAUCCAUUCUUUCAACACCAACAUGGAACAGUCUCCUACUUAAAAACAAAUGCUGACCAUCUAAGUUAGGAUGCUGACCCAGCAUUUGACUCCAAGUACUUCACACCGACUGGAUUUCAAGGAAAUUGCUCAACUUCUACAGAAAUAGACUUGCUGGAAUCAACAAUGUUACGCACAUCUGCCUACCCCUCCUGCAGGACUAGCAGUACUGUUCCUUUGCCUUGACCCGUUUUCCUGGUGUUUCUGUCAUUGUGAAGAUCAGCUGAUUGCAGGUCUGCAUCUAUGUCUGCACACCCCUGGUGCCUGGUGCCCACAGAGCCAGAAGAGAGCAUCGGAUCCCCUGGAACUAGAGCUUCCCAAUUUAAUCUGCCACCAUCUCAAGGAGCUGGCCUGCACGAUCCGGCACCGACGCCCGCAGAUCUUCCACACUUUGCAGGGCAGUACCCACCGAGGCACCGUGGCUUCCCCCCAUCGCCAUGCCUUAAGCAAACACCAAAUGACUUUAGAAAAAAGACCCACAGACCUAGAAUGGCAUCUGGCUACAAUUCCUCAAGACUUCUCUCACCUGUCCCAGACUCAGUCUCAAGUGACAGAGAUAAUCUGACCCCUUUUGAAGUGAACGGAUGGCACUGGCUGAGGGCAGAGAGAAAAGCCCCCGCUCUGAACGCCUCCGCACAUGCCUGAAGUACAACAGCUCUGUACACCCAUUUCAUCACAGAAGACUUUUUAUUUCGAAAUCAGCGACUUAAAAAAAAAAAAAAAAAAACAAAAAAAAAACGUUCUGUCUUAAAUCAGAGCUAUGUAUGCACAUUUGACAAUGAGCUGUUAUUCUUAAAGGCAGGAGGCUAAGCAGCCUGCUCAAGUUUCACAUGAAGCAAGAAAAAAAUGUUUCUUCCGUUAGUCUCAGUUUCAGAGUUCAAGAGCUGCGGCGAGCUCUGCUUACCUUACAGCCUCAGCUCCACAGAGGUCUCCCAAGUUUAAAAACGGGAUGCCGAGGUGCGGGAUCGCUUUUCUUGCACACAAGUUUCAUCCGUCAAAGCACUCAGCUCCUCAGGAGGACCCGGCCCUCUCUUGUCAAUCGCCAAUGAGGAAGCCACACAGCACAUGGGGGUAGUGGCUUCCCUGGGAGCCACUUAAAGUCUGCACACAGCCUCUGGGACAGAGGUGCCAAGUGUACCCUGUCACACAAAGCAUCCCAUUGUGAGGCCCUGAGCAUCUCUUGAAGGGGGGGAAAAGGGUUCUAAGAAAUUCCUGCCAGUCUGAAGUCUUAUUGCCUUUGUUAGCCGUGACUUUUAUUCAUUGAAAAUAAAGAGGAAAUGAUAUUCUGCUAUACUUAGAUCGGUGCCUCGCCCAAUGGUCAUCAGAGAGGCUUCAUCCAGCCACUGAUAGAAGCAGAUGCAGAGACCCCCAGCCAAACAGUAGGUGGACCUCAGGCAAUCCUGUGGAAAGAGGGGAGGAAGCAUUGUGGGAGCCAGAGGGGCCAAGGACACCACAAGAAACCCACAGAAUCAACUGACCCGGGCUCACAGGGUUUCAGAGACUGA